ACUCUUGUUUUUGGGGGUGAUGCAGCCAAUUGCUGGAAUGCAACUAACUGCAGUGCUCACCUUCCAGGUGUGCCCCCUGCUGCACGCAGUUUCGUGCUGUAGGAUAAGGCUUCCUUCCCCUAGGAGGAAAAUGUCCUGCGGUACACCUACAAAUGAAUUUCUUUGUGAUCAUGUCAGAAAGAUUGCUUGAAUAACACCAACAACAAUUAAACAAAACUGCAAAGUAAGCCAGAAAAAGGUUUGAUUUUAUUAGGAAUGGUACAUUUAAAUACAUGUAAGACUUCGGGAUUAAUUUACAUAUUUUUUCCAAAAACGUUUCCCUUCUUUGACAAUACAGAAGUUAAAAAAAACCCAUCUAAUUCCAAAUUGUAAGAACAACAGUAUUUGCAAUGGAAAUUUCUAUUAAUCAAAACAACUGUGCAUUCCGGAGAUUUUGACUACACUUUUCCUGGGAUUUUUUUGCUGCUCUCAUUACUAAAAUAACCUUCCUUUCCAUCAAGACUAUUGCUAGUCAUACACAUGUUAUUCAGUAUCACACUUUUGGGUAUGAAAGCUAUGUCACUUUUAUAAACAUCAAAAACAUGGACAUGCAUAUUGACAUUUCUGUGCAGUUUUAUGAAGUCACCUGUCAAAUAAGGCCUAUACAUACAAUACCACAUACUAGUGAAUUACUGUAAAAUUAUUAUAAUGGAUUCCCAAUAAACCUGACAUCUGGAUGGUAUGUCUCAUUUUAACAGAAAAUUCCAGCUUUCAUUACUGCUUAACAUCAUAUUAAUUAAUUAUCCAAGUGAGCAAUAUUCAACUAACCAAUGUGUAUUCCUGAAAGUCUUUAGCAAAUUAAGCAUAUUGUCAAGGUCAUGUAAAGCUGGAACUUAAAACAGCCUGUUAAGCCAAGCAACGGGGAAAAAGGGGAACUCUAAACUAAUUUCAUCUGGUCCAUUCAUUCUCGCACAGAAAAGUAGCCACAGAACCUUAAAGGAAUUAAAUCUAUACUUCCUGUUCUCGGACUUAAUACCAAGGACAAAAGCUAACAUAGUAUUUUGGAAGUCAAAGGCCUUGGAGGUGGAGGGGAAAGAAGGGGCAAGAGAGGGAGA